rnacentral:ncRNA from 2 species
AGUUUAUCAAGAGAGUGGGGAGAGAAUUGGCUCUAUGAUCCAUCGGCAACCGUCUAUUUAGAAAGGUGCUAAAUCCAACCCGAUGAUAGGGAAAGAUGAUAA